rnacentral:rRNA from 1 species
GAUGAACGCUAGCGGCAGGCCUAAUACAUGCAAGUCGAACGGGAUCUGAGGGUAGCUUGCUACCCGAUUUGAGAGUGGCGCACGGGUGCGUAACGCGUGAGCAACCUACCCAUAUCAGGGGGAUAGCCCGAAGAAAUUCGGAUUAACACCGCAUAAUAAUACGCUAACACAUGUUGAUGUAUUUAAAUAUUUAUAGGAUAUGGAUGGGCUCGCGUGACAUUAGCUAGUUGGUAAGGUAACGGCUUACCAAGGCGACGAUGUCUAGGGGCUCUGAGAGGAGAAUCCCCCACACUGGAACUGAGACACGGACCAGACUCCUACGGGAGGCAGCAGUAAGGAAUAUUGGUCAAUGGGCGCAAGCCUGAACCAGCCAUGCCGCGUGCAGGAUGACUGCCCUAUGGGUUGUAAACUGCUUUUGUUAGGGAAUAAACCUUCUUACGUGUAAGGAGCUGAAUGUACCUAAAGAAUAAGGAUCGGCUAACUCCGUGCCAGCAGCCGCCGUAACAC